rnacentral:rRNA from 2 species
CACGUAGGGUGCAAGCGUUGUCCGGAAUCAUUGGGCGUAAAGAGCUCGUAGGCGGCUUAGUAAGUCGGGUGUGAAAACCCCAGGCUCAACCUGGGGACGCCACCCGAUACUGCUAUAGCUAGAGUCCAGUAGGGGAGUGUGGAAUUCCCAGUGUAGCGGUGAAAUGCGCAGAUAUUGGGAGGAACACCAGCGGCGAAGGCGGCACUCUGGGCUGGUACUGACGCUGAGGAGCGAAAGCGUGGGUAGCGAACAGG